GGUCAUGAGCACUCACACUGAGACCUGAUGCCACCGGUGAGCACGUUAUUCUGCUAAAACACAGGACUUGGGGCAUUCACACUUGUUAUCUCAUCUGGAUCCUCACAAUAAAGCAUCCAGAAAAGGAGAGAAAGUGGAAGAAAAGACAAAAUCAUGAAGUUAGAAGAAAGCUGGGUUCCAAUCCAGGCUCUGCGAUGAUUAGUUAUGUGAACUUGAGCUAGUUAUUUAAUUUCUCUGAACACGGGCUUCCUCUUCUGUAAGACAGCACCUAGAACGUUUAAAUUGAUGAAGGAAGGUGACAUGCAGAGAAACUGAUGCCAGCAAGUGAGAGAACUCUAUUGUGAUUCCAAAUCCAGGAGUUUCUCUACCGAAUGCUGAUGGAAUCUACUCCAAAGAUUGACCAAAAAUCAUGGACAAGACCCGGCUAUCUUUCAUGGAGCAUUAGCAAUGGCAAAGAACUUAGAAAUCCUCUCUUUUGACACUUCCAUUUUAAAGACAGGAAACUGAAGCCCAGAAAGUCCUGAAGGCUGUCAUAACUGGUGAUUAGUGGCAGAGCUGGGACUUGAAUCUACUACUCUUUCAGCCCAUCCAUGCCAUGCUUAUCAUUAUGAAUGACCCAGUGAAACAUCCAUAUAGCAUUCCUCAGUGCCCCACUUUACCAGGAAGGUGCUCUCAUCAAUUGCAAUCUGACCUAAGCAAAAUUCUCACUGGUUCAAUGUUUCUGCAGACUGGCAUUAAUGGAAUAGGCAGUCAUGCUCAUCUAAUCAUGUCUUUCUUUAAAUAGCUUGGGCUGACAUGUUGUUUUCUGUCCAGAAGAUAGAUAGGCAAACACCAGCACAACUAGCAUUUAUCAAGUAUCUAUUAUAGGGCCCUCAAUGAGAUUAGGGUUUUUGUUUGCAUUAUUUUAACAUUAUCUUUAAUAGUCUAUGAGGUAUUGAAGUCUAUCUUAUAGCUAAUAAAUAAUGGAACCAAAGGCUAAAAUCCAGGACUUUUUUUAAAAAAAGCUAGGUCUAGGGCUCUUUCUCUGUGUUUUGCCUUCCAGGGUACGGCAGAAAAACCACUGAAUUUAUCCCAAAGACUGUAGCUUCUUUAGAAGCAAAAUAUGCCAAUAAAAUCUCGGUUUCCAGAGGGGGAGUCAAUGGAAAUCAAAUAAGAAUGUAUUUCAUUCUGUCAUCUCCUGACCUAUAAAACAGAGUUAGAAGACCAGACUCCUGGAGAGUUGCUGCCAUUAGGCCUUACAGGAGUCUCUGCUCAUUUCUCGUUGUUCCAGAUUUUUCAAUCUUGUCUUCAGGCCAGUUUCUUGAUCUCCUCUCAUCACAGCAGCACUCCAUCCUGUCCAAGCAUAAGAAAUCUGUGCUGUCUUGGACAGAUGACAGAACUUAGACUUUAAACCACUGAUUUUUUUGUGGUGGGCAUUUAGGAGUGCUAAAGCCAAAAAUAGAUGCUCAUUUAAAUCUAAGGGUUACUCUCCCAUCUUCUCACUUCCAUCUUAAUGUCACCUAGUUCUAAUCAGGGUCUACUGCUUAAUGCAGUAAGAGAAAAAUGAUGUUUUGUUUACAAUAGCAGGUCCCAUUGUGACUGUGUUCUUGUAGUGCAACUCUUUUCAAAGCAAAGUUUUCCCUGAGAUAGUGAGCUGAAAUAAAUAUAUAUCCCCUACUGCUGAUUCUUCUUUAUUUUUUUCUCUAAACAGAAAGGACAGUGCCAUUGAAAGCAUAAAAUGCACCUAAAAAAAUAUUCUUCAGUAAAGCCCAAUAGAAUCAAGGUGUGACAUCCCCAAGAACAGCCAAGUCACAAAAGAGCUAGUCAUGCUGAAGGCCAAGUUAAAUAACCCAUAAUUUUGGAUCUCUGGGUCCCACUAGCACCCUUGAGUGUGGGCUUAUAAAAUUCCUGAACGGGCAAGACGGCCCCUGUUGAAUCUUGCUUGACUUGGCCCCUUCAUGGGUAACUCUUCUGUGAUUUGGCUUUCCCCACACAUCUCACACCUUCCCACAAGUGACCUUUUCACUCUGUGCUUGGCUUUUCUGUGGUGGGUUAAGUGUCUGCACACAUUCACAUCAUCAUGUUCCCGAUGUGAAGAUGACAUGGUCAUACAUGCUAUUGAUCUCCAAAUAUUCAAAGGACAUUGAAGCUCUGCUCAGGCUCCUGCAGUCUUUUCUGGGAUAAGUAUGGAUAUAAGGAUAUGGCAAGAUGAUGAAUGCCCUACGUAUAUCUAUUGUUCUGAUUUGCGUAGCCCCUUGAGCUGCACAGCACUUCUUAUAAAAGUGAGCUUCCACAUGUCUAAUGGUGCUUAGUCCCUUAGACUCUAAAUCUUAGACCAUGUGUUGUUAUUUCAUACCACCCCAGAGCCAUUUCCUCUUAUAUAAAAUUUCCAGAAAUCCAUAGGCAUACUGCAUCACGUGGCAGUGGGCUUCUGCAUUUCCUUGGAGCAUUAUGACAGGCCACUCUAAUUAUAAUCACUGGUUGUCAGCUUAUCCUCUGUCUGUGUUAAGCAGUCUCACUUUCAACUACUCAUCGUCAUCUCCAGAAAGCCUCCCCUGAACUUUAGGCUGACCCAACUGCUCCCAUAGUAUCCAUAUUUACCUCUAUUUUGGCAUUUCCUCACUACAGUAAUUGUUUCUAUUUUUGGUCUGUCACCACAAUAGACACAUUAGAGCUCCUAAGUUGGAUGGACUAGCUCUCACUUAUCUGCAUAUUACCAACACUUAGCACUAUGUCCUGCAGAAAAUAUACAUUCAGUACAUAUUGGUGAGCCAUUGUUGAAGGUUUAGUUGAAUGGGUUAAGGUAAAAAUUAUUUCCAGGCCUGUGAAUUAAUUCUAUUCCAGAACUCUUUCUGUUGCCAAUAUUAGUGUGAUGAAAUAUUAAGUAUGACUUGUGUUGACACUCAGACAGAAGGACAUAUGGCCCACUAGAAUUGUCACUGCAAAAAGGCUAAUUAGUUUAACUCUCAAAGGGUAACUUUAUUUACCAUGCCUUUGUUGGAGGGGAGGUGUUGAAAGAAUGACUGACUUCCCCAUGCUUUCACCUUGUAGGAGACAAGGAAUUUGGCGGCCACAUAGAUUGGCCUUUAGUUUUGCCUAUACCUCAGUAUCCUUCAGUAUUAUCUUCCUUAAAUCUUCCCAAAAGUCUGUAUAAGGUUUCAUGGACAUUACCAAACUAAACUGCCUGAUAAGACGUAUGUACCCCUCAACCUCUGUUUCAACUUUUUAUCUAUCGUCUUCCCACCCUCCACUGAAACGCAAGCAUGCCUUUGUCUCAGAUAUAGACUGGGAGCCCAAGAGAUAAUCUUUACCAAUCUCAGCAUCUCCAGUUUUCUCUGUUAAGCUACAUGGUAAAGAUGUCCCUGAGAGACUAAGUCUGGGGAAUUUUUGUAUACCAGAGGUUUGACCAGAAAACUGAGAUUUUUCCAACUCUGGAUCCUUUGGCUUUUGCCCUGAUUAUUUUACUAGGGCCUUACUCUUCUCUAAUUCUUAACAGUUAAUAAAAAGUCUUUCUGUUGCCAUGGUUGAGAACAAUGAGCCCUUGUCAGGAUAAGAUUUGGAGAGCUUUAAUGAGAAGAUGUAUGUAAGCCCAUGUUGCAAAGAGACAAAACAAGAAUACAGAAAAAAGGCUCUGUUGAUGAAGCAAAAACCCUCCUGAGACCAGCACACUCUGGAAAUGGAAAAUGGAACCAGUGGCAUUUUGCCUAUUUGUUCUGGGCACCAUUCUGGAUGAAGGGAUAGCUAAUUUUUCUCUGUGAAGAUUAAUUAGUGAUGGGACCCAAGAUAGUUGUUGUUGUAGAGGGUGCCUCACCCUGUGAGCUUCCUUUCUGAGGAGCACCACCAGCAACACCCUUAGGUCAAAGGCCUGAGCAUUGUCACAGAGUUAGACAAAGCCUAAUUCCAGAAGCUUAGUCUAGAAGCCAUGUAUGAAUAUAGUUUCCAAACAGACUGAAUCUUUGGGGACUGCAAAUAACAUUACAUGUUCAGGCCUUCCACACUCCUGCCUUGAGGUAGGAAGUAUUAUGCAAAGACCUGCAAAAACUACAGGCUGAGUGGAGUGUGAUCCUGACACUCUAGAGAUGACUUCCAUAUGCAAGUCAUACUUGAGCUCUUUCUGAAUGAAACCAAACAAGAGGUGAUUCCUGUUAUACUACAAGCUUAUUUAAGCCAGGGAACAUGGCUUGUGUAGCAUUCUCAGAAUUUUGCCCAGGAAAAGAAAUAUUUUCUAAAAGUCUGCCUUAUCAAAUAUUAAUGGUUCUAACCUCAGAUUGCCUGAGUGUGACCUUUGGCAAGAUUCUUAGUCUUUCUGCAUUUUUCUCUCACCUAUAAUGUGGGUAUAAUAAUAAUACUGUCAGCUUCAUAAAGUCGUUGGGAAUUAAAUAAGACAUGGUACUAACUAAGGCACUUAAGCUGGCAUGAAUAAGCACUUGAUAAAUGUUUCUUGUUUUAUACUUAUCACUUGAGAAAAGCUUACUCAGCAUUUUAUAAAUCCUCAAGAUCUUUUAGGAGAACGGGAAGGAAUCCUACUAAAAGAUAUAUCUCACAGAUGAACCGAACCCCAGUGGGGCAAAGUUAACUGUUCCAGAUUGCUUUGCAAAGCAUCUGAGAAGCUGGGACUAGAAAUUAGCCUUAUCUUUGACUGCUGGGUUUAUAGGAAAAGCAGAUUGAGAUUGGCUCAGGCUAGGUUGGCUCAGGGGCUGGCAGAAGCUCCCUAAUGCCUAACAAAUUUGUUUCCUCUUCUUCCUAUGCACUCAGCUAGACUAUAUUGCCCAGUUUCCUUUGCAGUUAGGUGUGGUCACUGGAGUUCUAACCAUUAGAAUAGAGAGGAAGUCAUGCAUCAAUACAAGACUGGGCUUAUGAAUAUCUCCCAUGUACAAGUUUUUAUUCUUUCUCCUCAUAGUUUAGCUGAAUGGAGAGGUACUGAGCUAAGUGCUGAAGAUAUUGGAGCCAUCAAAUGGAAGAAGAUUGUUUUCCUAAAUCAUUGCUUGGAGAAGAGCCACUCAAUGAGAAAUUCCAUGUUGAGUUGUGAGAUGAGUGAGAAAUGAACAUUAUUAUGUUAAGAUUUGGAGAUUUAUCUGUUACCUCAUCUAGAGACAGCCUAAGAGAGGCUCUACCUGCUCAUGUGUAGAGGAAGGAUGCAUGGUGUGGGCAAGAUGAGGAGAACUCCAAGAAUCUUCUUCGUGGAGUUCAAAAGCUUCCCUGAGAAUAAGAGCUGACAGAGGUUGACUUGGCAAUCCUUUGAUAGCCCCCUUUGUCCACUUUGGCUUCACUAGGUGAAAAUACUAAAAAUGACUCAAAACCCCUUUGGUUUUCUGUGCCUCUGCAGAGCCUGCAGUAAAGUGUAAUAAAAGUAGAAACUGUGAGUAGGAAGCAUCUGAAGUGGGAAAUGCCGUUAGGCUGGCCCAUAAAAGAUGAGUGCUAUGAGCAGUAAAAUGAGCUAAGAAGGAAAACAUGAUGAAUGUUUUCUCGGCCUUAAGCAGCAAGAUCCCAUUUCAGCAUCCCACGUGGCACUGUGUGCCUGGCUGGAAAAAGCAAGGGCCUCUGUGCAAAGCCUGACUCAGGGAGUGUGGCAGUUGAGCCUAACCCUGGGGCCCCGGCUGGGGGAGUAGAGUGGGGUGGAGGUGCUGGGGGUGGGUGGAGGGAUGCAACUUGAUUUCUUCAUCACCUCCCAGGCCUUACUGACGCUUUCCAUGUUGAAGGUUCCCAUUGAGACACUGGAGGAAAUCCUGAAUUGCCCAAGUUACAGAGCAAGGACACCUCACAUAGGGAAAGGGAACCCAGAGGUCAUGGUGCCAGGAACAGCAGGGAGAACUUUAUGAGAUUUGACUCAAGAAAAUGAAUAUCCUCUGCUUCAAUCCCACUACCAUAGCUCAUACCACACAGAGAACAUGUGUCUUUACUGUGCUGGCCCCCACCUCGCACCGGGACACCUUCCUCCUCCUAGGUUUAGGCAGCUUCCAUGAAUUCUUCGAAGUACGAUUCAAGUUCAACUUUCUCCACGAGCCCACGACUUUUUAUUAUAGUCCCUGUAAAUCUCAUUUUUGGAAAAAUAUAGCAGUGGAAAGGCCUGGGUUGGAGCCCUGCCUUUGUUACUUGCAAGCUCUGUGAUUUUGUGCACAUUACUAACUUCUGUAAGUUUCGGUUUCCCUAUCUCUAAAAUAGGGAUUGAAAUAUAAAUCCUACAGGAUGGCUGCAAGGAUUACAGGAUAUUACCUUGCAUAAUGUGUAAGAUGUAAUAAACACUCAAUAAAAAUUAGUUUUCUUCUGAAAUUUUGCAGCAUAUAUGGUCUUUACCACCAAUUUAAUACUUUUAUUGUUUCUUAUGCACGUAGCUUGACUCUUCAACCAGGGUAAAAUCCCCUUCUAGAACAGAAUAAUGUCUCAGAUCAUUAUAGACUACCAAGCCAUAUUUAAUAUUUUUGCUUAUUAAUUACUGUUCAUCAUUAGUCUGAUUGAUAUCAAUUGGUUGGUUGAUCAUUAGUUUUAACCUUUUACAAAGUUAGUUAGAAAGGUGCCUCUCAUCCUCUAAGAAUGUCAUGAAAAUAUGAUUUUACUCGGGCUGUGUAGAAGAUAGAUUCAUAUUUUGAAGAGUCUCUAAAUUACUCCAGUCCCAAGAAGACUUCAAAAAAUUAGUAUCAAUGCUAUACAAAGCUAUUGUAAAGACAAAAAUGCCUGGCCUACGCUGACAUAAUAACAGCUGAACACAUCUUCCAGUGACACAUGGCUGCCCUCAGCACGAGUUAGAGUAAGCCAAUUCUAAGAAAAUGGCUAUAUUUGUACUAGCUCAAACAUCACCCUCUGAGAGCAGCCCUCUUAGAAAAUCAUAUCUAAAUAAGCCUUCGUUCUCAUUGCCCAGUCAUUCUCUAUCAUUCUAUUAUUUUUAAUUUCCUCAAAGUCAUCAAUGCAAUCUGAAAUUAUUCAUUUACUUGCUAGUGUAUUCAAUGUCAGUCUCUCACUAGACCAUGAGCUCCUAAAGGCAAGAACAUGUCUGGUUGUUCAUUGCUACGUUCUCAGUGCCCAGAGCAGUGCUUAACAAAGAGCAUUAUAUAAUAUGUAUUGAAUUGAAUCUGAUGAACCUUGACAUAAGUGUGGGGAACAAAUCUCCAAUUGAUGAUCAUAAGCAAAAAAGCUUUUGUGAAAUGCAUCUUUUUGGCUGGGUUUCCUUGGGAAAACAACUCUCCUUUAGCUUACUGAAUGCAAACUGGUACAACAGAGCUUCUCUGAAAUGCUCAAAGUACUAAGCAGUGAAUCACGUCAACCAGACAGCUCUGCUCUUGGAUCUCAGCUCUCAAAACUCCCACUAAUGAAAAAAUACUCCAUAGAAAAAGAUAUUAAUCUAUAGGCUGUAAGAAAGUUCUGAAUAUCUCUAUCUUUACUAAAUUGCUCCCUGAAAUGAAAUGCUAUUAUUUUUCCUCCAAUGUUUAUUCAUUGUAGUGUCUUUUAAAAUCUUAUUUUGUUCUUAACCCACCAUUUCUUAUUUCUAUAAAAAUUCUGAGCAUCCUUAAAAGCUCAGUAGAAGUUCUGCCUCACCAAUGAAAACAAUUAACCUCUUCUUACCCUAAACAUCUUCUUUGAAUUUCCAGAGCCUUUUAUAUCAUGCACCUCAUUGUGAAUGGCUGCCUAAAAAGCUAGCCCUUUCAAGAAAGAAACCAUGGUGUGAUUUUUACUCUUCCUUAUGUAUAACGGAUGCUUGCUAGCUACUAUUUACAUUUACACUAAUCUAUUACAGAAUACUAUAUGAAGAACAAUAAACCUUUGUUAAUUUAGGUAGCUUUAACUUGGAGUAAAUAAUAUUAUUUAGCCAUGCAACCAUUUCUUAUCCUUAAAAAAAGGCUUUGGUCAACAAAUUAAACAAUAAGUAUGUAUUGAGAUUCUAUAAUAGAUCAGGAACUGUCCUAGCUAUUGAGGAUGCAAAGAUGAAUAAGAUAGCCUUUCCCCAGAAAAAUGAGCAAUUGUGGAGCACCUUAGACUAUAGAAGAAUAAUCCUUCUAGUAAACACCCCUUUGUGUAAUCAUUAUGCCAAUUACAAUGAAUGCUCACUAUUUCAUGAAAGAGAAUUGCGUAGAGCAUAUUCUUCACAAUUCUUUAUCCAGUUUGUCUUUUAAAAAACAUUUUUAUUACUUCUUCAGGUACACAUGGAAACAUAUGCCAUAAUUCAGAUGUAACUAACUUGGAUUGUUCUAAUUAACCCAAAUUACAAAAAUGUUCUGUACUUAAUAUUCUAAAUGAUUAUUGAAAUUAUUAUUCUUACUAUUGGGUGAAAAUAUGGAGAUUUUUAUGUCAAGUUUUCUGAUUGGCAUACUAUGAUUAUCUAUUACCCCAAACCUCAAAGGGUGUUAGAUCAGUGAACAAUGUUUGGUAUGCUGCUAAAUUAAAAAGUAAUAAUAAUAACCGUAAGCUUCACAUGUAGUUGUUUUUGUUAUACCAUUAUGAAACCAAGGGGUGAUGCAAGGUUUCCAAAUAGGAGUGGUUUUCUAAGUUUUGAGGCAUGUCAUUCCCAGAGAGCCUACAAUCCGUGGAGGUACUCAGUCAGUCAUUGUCCAGCUAUUUUGGCAAUGAUCUGAUGGCUAAUGGAAUUAACUAGCAUGCCACCCUCUGCAGUUAUUUAUAAAACCAGAGCAAUGAAUAAGGUUUUUGCUCUCCCAAACCAACCUCCAUUUCCAGUGAAUGGCUGUGGUGGUUGGCAACCUGAGCCCACCAAAUCAAACCCUGAUGAAAUGGGUCAGUGAGCAACCAGUGUAACUGUCCACCAGGAAACAGUCUGGAGUAGGGGCAAGAGCAAGAGGUUUCAAGUCCUGGCUCUGCUGCUUCCCAGCCACUUAAGAAUGGGCAGGUCACAAAGUUUAUCUUUUACUUCUUCAUUUGCAAAACAAUACUUCCUGGCCUGUCCACCUUUCAUGGUUAUUGUGAGGCUCCAGUGAGAUAAUAUAUGAAAGUUCUUGUAAAUGGCAUAGUCCUAGCCUCUUUAUUAGUCUAAGUUGUCAGUUGGUGCAUGACAACUCAAAACCACUCUCCCCAUGCUGCAGUGAUGCAUUCAAGGAGGAUAGUACAUACUUAUUGUUCAAUAUACCAAGCAAAAUCCAGAGGCACUCUCACCUCAAUCCCUUAAGAUAUGUCUUCUUUCCUGAUUGUCCAAGUGCCUCGUGGUACUGCUGAAUGACAGUGCUAAUUGCACAGACCCUAAGGUCAGAUUGCCAGCUCCCCACUUGGUCAAAUAUUUAACAUUUUAUGAGCUCGUUACUGGAUCUAUAAAAUGAGGAUUCAAAUGUUACCUAUCUCACAGAAUUGUGGGAGGAUAAGAUAAUCACGUAAAACACAUGAUGUAGUAUCAGGUGGCACACAGUAACAAUGACAAUUACUAUUAGCCUCACACAGGUUUCUGCAGCUAAUAUGAAGGCAAAAAUCCCAUUAGAGUCAGAAGAUCUGGUUUCAAGUCCUCGUUCCCUCUGUGACAGGCUGGAUAAUGCUACAAAUUUCAUUCAAUCUCUCUGGAAUGCAGUUACUACUUAUAAAAGGAUGCUAAUAUUCACUUCAUGGGGCCUAUAUAAAAAUCACAUAGAGUAAUAUAUAUAUAACUUCUAUACUCACUGUAAUGCACGAUGAAAAUGCACAAGGCUGUUAUUUGAUUUUUCUGUAUGAACAAACAUGCAGAAAACAAUUGCAAAGAUUUUAUUUAGCGGCUUUC
rnacentral:lncRNA from 10 species